rnacentral:lncRNA from 1 species
ACGAUUGGUAAAUGCUAAUAAAAAUGAAUCACAUAAAAUAAUACAAAAAGUACAAAUAGCAAAGUAACUAAAUUUCAAAAUCAAAUCAAAUCAAUUCCCAAAUGUAGGCUAUGUCAUAAAAAUUCAAAACUCCCUAAUACACGUGGUACUAGGGUCGGAGGUCAUAAAUGUACACUCCUCUACACGACAACAAAUUCGGAAGCCGAGAUAAAUUGUAUCGGUC